UACGUAGGGGGCGAGCGUUAAUCGGAAUUACUGGGCGUAAAGCGUGCGCAGGCGGUUUUGCAAGUCAGGUGUGAAAUCCCCGGGCUUAACCUGGGAACUGCGUUUGAAACUACAAGGCUAGAGUGUGGCAGAGGGGGGUGGAAUUCCACGUGUAGCAGUGAAAUGCGUAGAGAUGUGGAGGAACACCGAUGGCGAAGGCAGCCCCCUGGGUUAACACUGACGCUCAGGCACGAAAGCGUGGGGAGCAAACAGG
rnacentral:rRNA from 1 species